rnacentral:rRNA from 1 species
UACGUAGGGUGCGAGCGUUAAUCGGAAUUACUGGGCGUAAAGCGUGCGUAGACGGUCAAGUAAGUCGGGUGUGAAAGCCCCGGGCUCAACCUGGGAAUUGCAUUCGAGACUGCGUGGCUAGGGUGCGGAAGAGGGAAGCGGAAUUUCCGGUGUAGCGGUGAAAUGCGUAGAUAUCGGAAGGAACACCAGUGGCGAAAGCGGCUUCCUGGUCCAGCACCGACGUCAGGCACGAAAGCGUGGGGAGCAAACAGG